rnacentral:rRNA from 1 species
AUGAACGCUAGCUACAGGUCUAACACAUGCAAGUCGAGGGGAAACGGCAGCUUAGCUUGCUAAGCUGGACGUCGACCGGCGCACGGGUGAGUAACGCGUAUCCAACCUGCCCCACGGUGAGGGAUAACCCGCGGAAACGCGGCCUAAUACCUCAUGGUCUCCGAGCUUGCCAUCAACCUUAGAGUAAAGAUUCAUUGCCGUGGGAUGGGGAUGCGUCUGAUUAGCUUGUUGGCGGGGCAACGGCCCACCAAGGCAACGAUCAGUAGGGGUUCUGAGAGGAAAGCCCCCCACAUUGGAACUGAGACACGGUCCAAACUCCUACGGGAGGCAGCAGUGAGGAAUAUUGGUCAAUGGGCGAGAGCCUGAACCAGCCAAGUAGCGUGCAGGAAGACGGCCCUAUGGGUUGUAAACUGCUUUUAUGCGGGGAUAAAGCGGGCGACGUGUCGCCCUUUGCAGGUACCGCAUGAAUAAGGACCGGCUAAUUCCGUGCCAGCAGCCGCGGUAAUACGGAAGGUCCGGGCGUUAUCCGGAUUUAUUGGGUUUAAAGGGAGCGCAGGCCGGGUAUUAAGCGUGUUGUGAAAUGUAGGCGCCCAACGUCUGCACCGCAGCGCAAACUGGUGCCCUUGAGUACGCACGACGUUGGCGGAAUUCGCCGUGUAGCGGUGAAAUGCUUAGAUAUGGCGAAGAACUCCGAAUGCGAAGGCAGCUGACGGGAGCGCUACUGACGCUCAUGCUCGAAAGCGCGGGUAUCGAACAGGAUUAGAUACCCUGGUAGUCCGCGCGGUAAACGAUGGAUGCCCGCUAUUUGCGCAUUAGCGCAAGUGGCCAAGUGAAAACGUUAAGCAUCCCACUUGGGGAGUACGCCGGCACCGGAGCAACUC